GGCUCUUUCUCUCGACACCCCACCUCGCCUUAAUGUACUCACAGUCUGUUCUCCAGGACACUGUUCCCAGCAUUGCGCCCCGGCACAAACCUAUUCUCCAGUGCACAAGAACACACCGCAGCCAGAUUGUCCCCGGAGUGUGAAGAUUCCAUUCGUGGAAUGGAUGGAUUCCACUCAUUCACCUACAACGCUGGCCUGCAACAUAGAGACAGCUUGGUGUCUGGACUCAGCCCACGGAGGUUGGAAUCCAAGUUCCACCCUUUUCUCUUUGUCUCACCUGGGCCGAAUGGAAUCCCUUUCAUGCCUGAAGAUGUCUUACGGGUCUCCCUAUCUCUGAAAAAAUAUGGAUGAACAUAAAAUUUCCUGUAUGCGUUGAGCUGUUUCUCGGAAGAAAGACGAAGCUUUCUACUCCUGCAAAGAGAUAUUUGUGAAAUGGAACAAUGCACAAUUUGAUACCAGCUAUAAAACAAGGAGUCUGAUGAUCCAUAGAUUCCUUUGGUCAAAAG